rnacentral:rRNA from 1 species
CGAACGCUAGCGGCAAGCUUAACACAUGCAAGUCGAACGAGGUCCUUCGGGACCUAGUGGCGAACGGGUGAGUAACACGUAGAUAACGUACCUCCAGGCGGGGGAUAACUCAGGGAAACCUGAGCUAAUACCGCAUAUGUCCUUCGGGAUGAAAGGCUUCGGCCACCAGGAGAUCGGUCUGCGGCCCAUUAUCUAAUCCUAGUUGGUAGGGUAACGGCCUACCAAGGGUACGAUGGGUAGCUGGUCUGAGAGGAUGAUCAGCCACACUGGGACUGAGACACGGCCCAGACUCCUACGGGAGGCAGCAGUGGGGAAUAUUGGACAAUGGGCGAAAGCCUGAUCCAGCUAUGCCGCGUGUGUGAUGAAGGCCCUCGGGUCGUAAAGCACUGUCGGGAGGGACGAAGGACUUCGGUCUUGACGGUACCUCGCAAGAAAGCGCCGGCUAACUCC